rnacentral:rRNA from 1 species
GACGAACGCUGGCGGCGUGCUUAACACAUGCAAGUCGAACGGAAAGGCCCUGCUUUUGUGGGGUGCUCGAGUGGCGAACGGGUGAGUAACACGUGGGUAACCUGCCCUUGACUUUGGGAUAACUUCAGGAAACUGGGGCUAAUACCGGAUAGGAGCUCCUGCUGCAUGGUGGGGGUUGGAAAGUUUCGGCGGUUGGGGCUGGACUCGCGGCUUAUCAGCUUGUUGGUGUGGUAGUGGCUUACCAAGGCUUUGACGGGUAGCCGGCCUGAGAGGGUGACCGGCCACAUUGGGACUGAGAUACGGCCCAGACUGCUACGGGAGGCAGCAGUGGGGAAUAUGGCACAAUGGGCGGAAGCCUGAUGCAGCAACGCCGCGUGCGGGAUGACGGCCUUCGGGUUGUAAACCGCUUUCGCCUGUGACGAAGCGUGAGUGACGGUAAUGGGUAAAGAAGCACCGGCUAACUACGUG